rnacentral:rRNA from 1 species
UACGUAGGGGGGCAAGCGUUGUCCGGAAUCAUUGGGCGUAAAGCGCGUGUAGGCGGUCCGGUAAGUCCGCUGUGAAAGUCGGGGGGCUCAACCCUCGGAUGCCGGUGGAUACUGUCGGGCUUGAGUACGGAAGAGGCGAGUGGAAUUCCUGGUGUAGCGGUGAAAUGCGCAGAUAUCAGGAGGAACACCAAUUGCGAAGGCAGCUCGCUGGGACGUUACUGACGCUGAGACGCGAAAGCGUGGGGAGCAAACAGG